rnacentral:rRNA from 1 species
UGCGACGCGAAAUUCGCCCUUCUUGGUCAUUUAGAGGAGUAAAAGUCGUAACAAGGUUUCCGUAGGUGAACCUGCGGAAGGAUCAUUAAGAACGCCCCGUUUUUUGAAAUGGGUAAUUCCCAAACCGUGUCUAUAUCCUUUGUUGCUUUGGCAGGUCGCCUUCUAGGAGGCGUCGGCUCCGGCUGCUGCGCCUGCCAGAGGACCCAAACUCGUUUUGUUUAGUGUCGUCUGAGUCUAUAUAAUAGUUAAAACUUUCAACAACGGAUCUCUUGGUUCUGGCAUCAUGAAGAACGCAGCGAAAUGCGAUAAGUAAUGUGAAUUGCAGAAUUCAGGAAUCAUCGAAUCUUUGAACGCACAUUGCGCCCCUUGGUAUUCCGAGGGCAUGCCUGUUCGAGCGUCAUUAUAACCACUCAAGUUUCGACUUGGUAUUGGGUUCGCGGUUUCGCGGCCCUUAAAAUCAGUGGCGGUGCCGUCUGGCUUAAGCGUAGUAAUUCUCUCGCUACAGGGUCCGGGUGGUUGCUUGCCAGAUCCCCCACUUUUAUAGGUUGACCUCGGAUCAGGUAGGGAUACCCGCUGACUUAAGCAUAUCAAUAAGCGGAGGA